UCCCUGGUGGCUCAGAUGGUAAAGCAUCUGCCUGAAAUGCGGGAGACCCAGGUUCAAUUUCUGAGUUGGGAA
rnacentral:tRNA from 1 species